CCUACGGGAGGCUGCAGUAGGGAAUCUUCCACAAUGGACGAAAGUCUGAUGGAGCAACGCAGCGUGAGUGAAGAAGGGUUUCGGCGCGUAACGCUCUGUUGGUCGUGAAGAAAGAUAGAGGUAGUAACUGUACUUUAUUUGACGGUAAUUACUUAGAAAGUCACGGCAAACUACGUGACAACAGCCGCGGUAAUACGUAGGUGGCAAGCGUUGUCCGAUUAUAUUGGGCGUAAAGCGAGUGCAGGAGGUUCAGUAAGUCUGAUGUGAAAGCCGUCGGAUCAACCGGAGAAUUGCAUCAGAAACUGUUGAACUUGAGUGCAGAAGAUGAGAGUGGAACUCCAUGUGUAGCGGUGGAAUGCGUAGA
rnacentral:rRNA from 1 species